rnacentral:rRNA from 1 species
AUUGAACGCUGGCGGCAUGCUUUACACAUGCAAGUCGGACGGCAGCACAGAGAAGCUUGCUUCUUGGGUGGCGAGUGGCGAACGGGUGAGUAAUAUAUCGUAACGUACCGAGUAAUGGGGGAUAACUAAUCGAAAGAUUAGCUAAUACCGCAUAUUCUCUGAGGAGGAAAGCAGGGGACCUUCGGGCCGUGCGUUGUUCGAGCGGCCGAUAUGUGGUUAGCUAGUUGGUGGGUUAAAGGCCUACCAAGGGGGCGAUCAGUAGCGGGUCUGUGAGGAGGAUGCGGCACCGUGAGGGUGAGCCGCGGCACAGACACUUACGGAAGGCAGCGGUGGCGACUUUUGGACGAUGGGGGGAAGCUUGCACCAGCGAUGCAGGGUGUAUGAAGAAGGCCUUCGGGUGGGAAAGGACUUUUGUCAGGGAAGAAAACGCUCUUGCUAAUAUCAAUAGCUGAUGACGGUACCUGAAGAAUAAGCACCGGCUAACUACGUG